rnacentral:rRNA from 1 species
UACGUAGGUGGCAAGCGUUGUUCGGAAUUAUUGGGCGUAAAGGGCGCGUAGGCGGUUUGUUAAGUCGGCUGUGAAAGCCCACGGCUCAACCGUGGAGGGUCAUUGGAAACUGGGGAACUUGAGUGCAGAAGAGAAAAGCGGAAUUCCACGUGUAGCGGUGAAAUGCGUAGAGAUGUGGAGGAACACCAGUGGCGAAGGCGGCUUUUUGGUCUGUAACUGACGCUGAGGCGCGAAAGCGUGGGGAGCAAACAGG